CGGUUAAGUUAGAAAGGGCGCACGGUGGAUGCCUUGGCACUAGGAGCCGAUGAAGGACGGGACGAACACCGAUAUGCUUCGGGGAGCUGUAAGCAAGCUUUGAUCCGGAGAUUUCCGAAUGGGGAAACCCACUGCUCGUAAUGGAGCAGUAUCUAUAUCUGAAUUCAUAGGAUAUGAGAAGGCAGACCCGGGGAACUGAAACAUCUAAGUACCCGGAGGAAGAGAAAGCAAAUGCGAUUCCCUGAGUAGCGGCGAGCGAAACGGGAACAGCCCAAACCAAGAGGCUUGCCUCUUGGGGUUGUAGGACACUCUGUACGGAGUUACAAAGGAACGAGGUAGAUGAAGAGGUCUGGAAAGGCCCGCCAUAGGAGGUAACAGCCCUGUAGUCAAAACUUCGUUCUCUCCUGAGUG
rnacentral:rRNA from 1 species